rnacentral:rRNA from 1 species
AGAGCGAACGCUGGCGGCAGGCCUAAUACAUGCAAGUCGAACGGAUCCUUCGGGAUUAGUGGCGGACGGGUGAGUAACACGUGGGAACGUGCCCUUUGGUUCGGAACAACUCAGGGAAACUUGAGCUAAUACCGAAUGAGCCCCCAUCCUUAAACAAGAUGGGUGGGAAAAAUUUAUCGCCAUUGGAGCGGCCCGCGUCUGAUUAGCUAGUUGGUGGGGUAAAGGCCCACCAAGGCGACGAUCAGUAGCUGGUCUGAGAGGAUGAUCAGCCACACUGGGACUGAGACACGGCCCAGACUCCUACGGGAGGCAGCAGUAGGGAAUCUUGCGCAAUGGGCGAAAGCCUGACGCAGCCAUGCCGCGUGAAUGAUGAAGGUCUUAGGAUUGUAAAAUUCUUUCAGCGGGACGAUAAUGACGGUACCCGCAGAAGAAGCCCGGCUAACUUCGUGCCAGCAGCCGC